CCUACGGGAGGCAGCAGUGAGGAAUAUUGGUCAAUGGACGAGAGUCUGAACCAGCCAAGUAGCGUGAAGGAUGACUGUCCUAUGGGUUGUAAACUUCUUUUAUAAAGGAAUAAAACGAGGCACGCGUGCCUGUUUGCAUGUACUUUAUGAAUAAGGAUCGGCUAACUCCGUGCCAGCAGCCGCGGUAAUACGGAGGAUCCGAGCGUUAUCCGGAUUUAUUGGGUUUAAAGGGAGCGUAGAUGGGUUGUUAAGUCAGUUGUGAAAGUUUGCGGCUCAACCGUAAAAUUGCAAUUGAUACUGGCAGUCUUGAGUACAGUUGAGGUAAGCGGAAUUCGUGGUGUAGCGGUGAAAUGCUUAGAUAUCACGAAGAACCCCGAUUGCGAAGGCAGCUUACUGAACUGUGACUGACAUUGAUGCUCGAAAGUGUGGGUAUCAAACAGGAUUAGAUACCCCUGUAGUC
rnacentral:rRNA from 1 species